rnacentral:lncRNA from 1 species
AAUAUUUCAGUCCGUUUGGUCACCGAAAAUUGUACCGAACUGUAAUCUUUAUCAGAUAGUUGUCGGAUUUUAUUUUCCACCUUCCGGGUGUAAGAAUGACAUAAAACUUUAAAUCUAGCCUCAUAAAAAUGAUUCUGACUUAUCCUCCAGUUUCCAUAAUUUUCUAAAACUGUGCAUUUUCUGCUAAUUUAUCUGUCCCGUUUCUAACAGAAAAUUCUAAAUCUUCUGUUUUCAUUCCGAUUUCAGCACAAGUCACUUCUGACUUAUGUUUUACUUNCCUCCAGUUUUCAUAAUUUUCUGACACUGUGCAUUUUCUGCUAAUUUAUCUGUCCCGUUUCCAACAGAAAAUUCUAAAUCUUCUGUUUUCAUUCCGAUUUCAGCACAAGUCACUUCUGACUUAUGUUUUACUUCUCUAAAUCCAAUAAAAAUAGUUUCUCACACUAUUUUUAUUUAUUUUUAUUUUUAUACCAAAAUCUGGUAUGUUACA